rnacentral:rRNA from 1 species
GGAGGAAAAGAAACUAACUAGGAUUCCCCCAGUAACUGCGAGUGAAGAGGGAAGAGCUCAUCAUUGGAAUCUGGCAGUGUUGCACUGUCCGAGUUGUAGAUGAGGAGUAGUCCAUCUGGACUGCAUGGCGUCCAAGUACAAUAGGCCGUCAGUGGGACAUCAUAGAGGGUGACAAUCCCGUCCUUGAUGCCAAUGUGCAAGUCCGUUACGAUGGCUAUCUCAGAGAGUCGAGCAGUUUGGGAUUUGCUGCUUAAACAUGGGAGGUAGAUUCCUUCUAAAGCUAAAUACAGGCGAGAGACCGAUAGAGAACAAGUACCGCAAGGGAAAGAUGAAAUAGCACUCUGUGAAGGGAGUCAAAAGGCGUGAAAUUGUUGCGAGAGAAGCGAUUCAAGUCAGCGUAGCUAGGCCCAUCAAGCGUCUCGCUUUGGACUAGCUUUGCCAGCGGUCUUGUCCUUUAGAGAGAGACUUGACU